rnacentral:lncRNA from 1 species
CACUGUUGUGUUUUUGAUUCAAGGUUUUAUAAGCCAAAAUUGGGAUGGGAGGGAUACCUAACCAUUUAUAUCAAUUUGUGACAGAGUUGUUUGUGUAUGUUUUAAUAAAAUGUGUAUUUAUUCAGUAUUUCAACAUUCUGUGGGCAAAAUAAAAACAACCAAGUGGAGUGGGAAGGAGUACAUUCCCAGUACAUGAUAGUUACCAAUGUGUUGGUACAUUUAAUUUAAAACUAGAGAGACUAUUUAAUUAGUUUUUCAUACAGAAUAAGUGAUUAAAGCUGAAAUGUGCUUUGAA